ensembl:lncRNA
CGAGCACCUAUUUUGUUAAUGGCCCCAAAAUCCGAGAAAGAAAAGUGUCUUCCCUCCUUUUCCCCCCAUUACAUUUCUUAGCUUUAAAAAUGAGCGAGCGCACAUGUGAGCGUUUACACCGAUCCACUAGCGGGAAGAUUGAUGAUUCUGGGAUUUGUUGGUUCACACCCUGUUCAGCACAUGGGAUAAAAUCAGGAAUGACGGAUGCACUCCUUCCAUCUACCGCUGGACCCGUUCCAAGGGAAAGUGUAGAGUUGGGCCAAAAUCCGUGGACAGCUACUGAUGAGAUCUGCCGAGUCCAAAAAUGUGAGUGUAAUAAAACAACAGCAUGAGGAAAAGCUGGACGUCCUCCUGGGCUGCAUUAGCGAGCGGUCCAUACGGUAAUGCAAUGAGAGGCCGAGGAUGUAUCGUGCUGAAUCUCUUCCUUGGACCGCGGCCGGGAUGUAUUUAUGGUUUUUCCUUUAGCAGUGAGAGGGUCAGAGGGCGACGUGAGGUCCUGACAGAACACAAUCAUCCAUUAACGCUUAAACAGACAUGAAUGGAAAAAGGCAGCAGUUCAGGAUCAUCAAAUCAGAUCCUUUAUGCAACAAAAGCAUUACCACAUGAAGAAUCGAGAGCACGCUUUCCACAACAACACAUGAUGAAAUCCAGAAUAUAGGAUAUAUAUAUAUAUAUAUAUAUAUAUACAUUAAAUGUAUAAACAAUUAAUUAAAUAAUAUAUAUAUAUAUAUAUAUAUAUAUAUAU